GCCGAGCGUGCGAAUGGUCUGCGCGCCAUUCGCUUCGCUAUAACGGACUUCCUCUCCGGAGAAAGAUUGUGAAGCUCUUCUCCGGAGUCGAAGGAUUCGGGAGAGAGAGAGAGGGGAAGGAAAGAAAGAAAGGGUUCGCAGAUCGAUUCGCGGUUACUCUCACCAGGGUUAUGUUUGAGUUCCUUUUGUUCGUUCUGAUCUGGGAGGGGGUUGCGGAAUCGGCUUAUGGGGUGAACCAAAGUUCGUGGGGCGAGGGAAAUGGGGUAAAAUGGGAGCGGAAGCUGCUCUCUCAUGGGAGGAUUGAGCAGAGAUUACUAGACUCGUCGUUUCCCGCUUCUUCGCAGCCAUCAGACAAUGCAGGAAGAACACUCGUGGUGUGUAGGAUAACGCAGGAUGGACUCCUAUGGAUAUCAACGCAGCUGAGGUUGGAAAACAGGAUGGAGAUGAAAAUAAGAGUCUGCAGACUGAUAAAUGGAGAAAUCAGUUCCCAUGGCCAAUAAUCUGGAUUCCUGGUGAUCAUAAAUCAGAAGAUGCAGUAAAAUAUUUGGUGGUGAGAAAAUUUGAUCAAAAUGUUGAAGAAAAAUCACCCUCAAAGUUAAAAACCAUUCCAUACUUCUUGAGGAUGAGCACUGUGGUGAAUUACUAAGAAAUGUGGAGGACAAGCGCAAAACUCUUGGGCAUCGAGAAGCAUUAGCUGAGAAAGAAAGAACUAAGAUCAUCCCUGUUAGGCAUAUUGAAGAGGACAUGGAUGAGAAGCACAAAAUUAAGGAGAAGGACAAUUCCCUUAGAAUACCUAAAAAACAAGAGAAUGGAGUUAACAAGUCAUCAGAUAGCAAACAAUUGUCACAGAUCAAGACAUUAAAGUUACCUUCUAUAUGUUGAGAGUGGAUCCACUGCCAAGGAAGAAGAUGGUAAAUGGCACAUCGAGGUCUCCUAGUUCACCAGUCCUUAAGGUCAAUGAGAAAGCCGACAAGGACAAAACAGAAAGAGAACAGCAAACAGUAAAAGAUAAGAAGGAACAGAUACCUAAAAAAGAGAUUCAGGCAGCAGAACCUUAUGUUAAAUUGUCAAAUGAAGCAGAAAAUUCAAAAAAGAAAAGUCAGGCGAUGAUGACAACUAAUCUAAAUGAAGAAACUGCUAAGAUUAUGAAUGAUCAACAGUCCAACAAAGGAGCAGGACUCAAGGUUAUGAAGGUCAAGACAGUAGAGAUACUAGAAGGAGGAUGAUCAACAACCAAUUGAUAAAGCACCACGUGAACUCGACGAGGGGAAGAGGCAUAUGGAGAGCACAGAAAGCAUAAUUACUGAUGGAAAGAAGGCAAGGAAAAUUUUGUCACAGGAAGAUGCAGCAGCAGUUCUUAUUCGAUCUGCUUAUAAAGGAUUUGAGGUGAGAAGAUCACAACCUCUUGAGAAGCUACGAAAAGUACAUCAAAUUCGUCAACAAAUUGAGGUGGCGAAGAACAAAAUUCAGAUGUUUGAAUCCUCCUCCACAGACCAAGAUUUGAAACACAAGGUUGCAGCAAGUGAGACCAUAAUGAAUCUUAUGUUGCAGCUGGAUACCAUUCAGGUGUGUGAUCCCACACCUAUCUUCACAUGGUGCCUUUCUUUCUGCAAUGACUAUGAAUCCUCCUCCACAGACCAAGAUUUGAAACACAAGGUUGCAGCAAGUGAGACCAUAAUGAAUCUUAUGUUGCAGCUGGAUACCAUUCAGGCGUUGCGCCAAAGUGUCGGAGACCUGAGAAAGUCAGUUGCUAGGGAGCUAACCAUUCUUCAAGAGAAGCUUGAUUCGCUAGGCAGGCCAGUCGUCGUGGGACACGAAAAGAUGAAACUUAAACACCCCGGUCACACAGUUUCUGAUUGUGGAGCUACCUCUGCGACUGACCCAUCUGUUACUACCCAUUUAGUGCCGGAAAAUGUCAUCACAAUCAGCUGAGGCAACUUGUUCGUUGGAGAUAACAUCUGCGGAUGGAAAGGAAGCAACUAUCCAACGACAGAGAGAUCUAAAACUGUUAGUGACUGAAUCUCGAGAUUCUGCAACUGGAUCAAAUAAUUUCAAAUCAUCGAACAGCAUAAAGAAAUAGCUUUUAUGAAAGAGCAACUUGCUUCUGCGGUGAGGGACGCAAUUGAAUCACAUGCUGUGGGGAAAGAACAAUCCUUUGGAUUGGAAGAUGCAAUAAAGAUUGUAGCAUCUACUUCUCAAGAAGUCUUAGAGGCGGCACCCUCUACCUCUGUAGAUGAGGUGGCAAAACUUGAGACAGACAAGCAUCUAGAAUGUCAAGGGACCAACUCUUUUCUCAAACAGGUGAGAGAUGAGCUGUCCGGUUCUAAAGCUGGAAUUAGUGAGAAGAUUGAUGUUGAAUUGGAGAAACCAAUAAUGCACUUGGUAGAGGGAGAAGCUACCAAAGUGGCAUCUGAGGAAUCAAAGCUUUCUUUUAGAACAACUAACCCUGAAUCAGUGUGGCGUGUAGAACCCACAGCUGCAGUCUGCAUCAAGGAAACUGUUUCACAGGGUGAUGAAGUUGAUACCGAGCUGGAGGAUCUUCAAGUGCCUGAAUUGCAAAACCCAGACCUUGUUGAGAAGACGGUGGGAGAUACAGAUGACCUCCGCAUAGUCACAGAAGUUCCAUGCUUUGAACAUGCUGCCCCCAUCACUGGUGUCACCGACAAUGGAAACGCUCAAAUGCCUAGUUGGCAACUUAGAAAAGCAGGCAGCAGAUACUGACAGGAUGGGUACACUCCUUCCGGUUCCAACUUACAACGAAGGUCAUUCAUUCACCGGGAGCUUUUGAACCUGGCCAAGAGAAUGGAAUCAGUCCAAUGCUGUUGCCUGAUGCCAUCAGUAUUAUUAAAAAUGAAGACAUUUCUUCGGAUUAAACAUUUCAAGCAAACAUUGAUGUAGAAGGGAAAGAUGGGUCUGGCUGGAUCAGAUCCAAGGCUGCUUCCUGAUGCAGCAAAUAUAAAAAAAAGAUGAAUGUAUCUAUCUCUACGGCUGAUACAUUCGAAACCAAUGUCAAUGAAGUUGAUGGUGCAGCUUCAGAUCAAGAAAGCAUGUCUUUUAGCAGACCCGACUCUCUAGCUCGAGGUAAGGCAGAAGGUUUGGCUCAUUCGGCAAAGCUGAAUGGUAUUGCUCCUGAUGUCCAUUUAAGCAAGGAAGAGAAUGAAAAGUUAAGAGAAAUGUUAGAGAGGCUGCUUGAGGCACUGCUGGGAGUCAUUGCAGAUGUUAACGGAAGAGUCAAACGACUUGGAGAGAAAACUCUCGCAACAGUAAAGGUGCAAGGUAAAAAAGUUUCAGACCAAAAAUGAACCCUCCUCCCAUAAAAGCUGCAUCAUCCGCUAAUAAUGUGAAAGUUGCAGCUUAAGAUAUCUGUAUACAUAUGCAGCAUACGAUAAGUAUAAAAUGAAGUGGUUCCCACCCCCACCACCUCUUUUUUGCUUCAUCUUUGUAUGUACCAAAUGGAUUGAAGAAUGUGCAUGCUUUUCUAUUGUAACACCGUGGUGUUUCUUCUCGAGUAUCCUUUGGGAAUGUCCAUGCUUUUGUUUGUAAUCCUGGGACUUUUGUCUCCCAUUAUUUUCAUGCCAUGUUCUCUUUU